rnacentral:rRNA from 1 species
CCUACGGGAGGCAGCAGUAGGGAAUAUUGCUCAAUGGGGGAAACCCUGAAGCAGCAACGCCGCGUGGAGGAUGAAGGUUUUAGGAGUGUAAACUCCUUUUGUUAGAGAAGAUUAUGACGGUAUCUAACGAAUAUGCCCCGGCUAACUCCGGGCCAGCAGCCGCGGUAAUACGGAGGGUGCAAGCGUUAUCCGGAAUCACUGGGCGUAAAGAGGGCGUAGGCGGGGUAAUAAGUCUGAUGUGAAAUGCUGUAGCUUAACUACAGAACUGCAUUUGAAACUGUUACACUGGAGUGUGGGCGAGGUAGGUGGAAUUCGUGGUGUAGGGGUGAAAUGCGUAGAGAUCACGAGGAAUUCUGAUUGCGAAGGCGGCCUGCUGGAGCGUUACUGACGCUGAGGCUCGAAAGCGUGGGGAGCGAACAGGAUUAGAUACCCCAGUAGUC